rnacentral:tRNA from 1 species
GGUCCCUUCGUCUAGCCUGGUCCAGGACGCCAGGUUUUCAUCCUGGCAACACGGGUUCAAAUCCCGUAGGGAUCA